CACUGGCUUGGUGUGGGAACUGAAUAGAUGUAAAUAACAUUCAGAGCAGUCUUGUGUGUUUCCUCAUAUUUAUGUUUGUUGCAACACUGCUGGAAAGAGCUAGAGUGGAAAAGAAAAGGAUGAUGCAUCCAUAGUAUGCCAUUAUGGAGCAAAAAGUUAGCAUCGGUCUUAGGUUUCUCAAGAGCAGCACUGAAUACUUCCAAUUGAAUGAAGCAUACAGUCCACUUAGUUGGCAAAGGAAAGGACAUCAUAAACCACAGCUUUCUGUUCAUCCAUCACAAUAGCUACACUGUUAGAUGUCUCUCCAUGGGUGGCACGAGACUCAGAGGCACUGCGUUCAUAAGGCACAAGUAACAUCAAGUAUUCAAGCCACAAGUUAAUUGGCAUCAUGAAUUUUCCUUUAAAAUGUUAAUAUUGAAGAACUAACCUCUUUGCAUAAGAGUGUCAUGAAGAAUCCACUUCCGUUGUCCAACUGGCAAUUUCUAUGUAGAAAGGAUAUAGUUGAAAAAAAUAUAUCUGUGAAAACAUUGAACAUUGUCUCAAAGUCAAAGGAAUAAAUAUAAUUAUUUCUUCCUUAUUAUAACUUUAGGUUCCAAAACAACUGUUAGGAAUAUAAUUCUAACAGUUGGGUUGGCAAUAUAUAAAUCAUAUAGCAA